rnacentral:lncRNA from 1 species
CUAACCAUAGUAGGGUUAACAUUAAAUUUAUUAAGUGUGUAUUUAUAUAGUUUAAGUGUUAUAUUACUAAAUAUUGUUCUCCAUAUGAGUAAUAUUUGAUGAGGCAUGUGAACAAAUAUUCCUAUAAGAUUAUGUUUGUUGUUUCAACUUUCUUUUUAAUGUUUCUACCUUUUUUGUAAUGAUUGAUAUUUGUUUUANGAGAAAAGUGAUUAUAAUGUUANGAUAAUCAAAUGAGUUUUUUGCAUAAGAAGGUUAAGAAAUUUUGGAAGUUGAAAAGUUAGAACGGUUAAUGUGCUGUUUUAUUAUAGAUAAAUUUUAAAAUCUAUUCUUCUUACUUUUUAAAUGCAUUAAGGUUAAGAAGUNUAUUACAUCAAGGUGAUUUUGGCUGUAGCUUUUGUCAGUUAUUUUCUUUUUGUUUUUCUAUUGAGUUUUGAGCUGCUAUAUUAUAUCCAUGAGUUCAUUUUAAAAAUUAAUUUGUUUAUAGAGAAAAAAAACAAGGUGAAGAACCUAAUCAUAUAUCAUAUACCAUUAUGCCAAUGAAUUUGAUUUGAAGUCUGUUGGAAAAAUGUUUGCAUAAUUAAUAUCAAUAACACUGUUGUUUUACCAUAAAACAAAAUUUAGUGUAAAAAAAGUAUGUAAUUUUUNACUCUAUCACCUUU